rnacentral:rRNA from 1 species
CGUAACAAGGUCUCCGUUGGUGAACCAGCGGAGGGAUCAUUAAAGAGUGUAAUAACUCCCACACCCAUGUGAACAUACCUCAUGUUGCCUCGGCAGGUCGCCCCUCCCCGUAGGCCCUACCCUGUAGGCCCUACCCGAAGGCGCGGGUACCCCUGCCGGCGGCCCACGAAACUCUGUCUCAUCGUUGAAUUCUGAACCUAUAACUAAAUAAGUUAAAACUUUCAACAACGGAUCUCUUGGUUCUGGCAUCGAUGAAGAACGCAGCGAAAUGCGAUAAGUAAUGUGAAUUGCAGAAUUCAGUGAAUCAUCGAAUCUUUGAACGCACAUUGCGCCCAUUAGUAUUCUAGUGGGCAUGCCUGUUCGAGCGUCAUUUCAACCCUUAAGCCCUUGUUGCUUAGCGUUGGGAGCCUACGGCACCGUAGCUCCCCAAAGUCAGUGGCAGAGUCGGCUCACACUCUAGACGUAGUAAUUUCUCACCUCGCCUACAGUUGGACCGGUCCCUCGCCGUAAAACGCCCCAUUUCUUAAAAGGUUGACCUCGGAUCAGGUAGGAAUGCCCAUUGAACUUAAGCAUAUCAAUAAGCGGAGGAAAAGAAACCAACAGGGAUUGCCCUAGUAACGGCGAGUGAAGCGGCAACAGCUCAAAUUUGAAAUCUGGCUCUCUAGGGCCCGAGUUGUAAUUUGUAGAGGAUGCUUUUGGCGCGGUGCCUUCCGAGUUCCCUGGAACGGGACGCCUUAGAGGGUGAGAGCCCCGUACGGUUGGACACCAAGCCUCUGUAAAGCUCCUUCGACGAGUCGAGUAGUUUGGG